GACGAACGCUGGCGGCGUGCUUAACACAUGCAAGUCGAACGAAGUGGCGAACGGGUGAGUAACGCGUAAUCAACCUGCCCUUCAGGGGGGGACAACAGUUGGAAACGACUGCUAAUACCGCAUACUGAUGGAGGGGAUUGCGUCGGAUUAGCUGGUUGGUGGGGUAACGGCCCACCAAGGCGAUGAUCAGUAGCCUGGUCGGAGGGGUGAACGGCCACAUUGGGACUGAGAAAAGGCCCCGAAUCCCACGGGGGGCAGCAGGGGGGGAUCUUCCGCCAUGGACGAAAGGCUGACGGAGGACCGCCGCGUGGGAGAUGACGGGCUUCGGGUUUGAAAACUAUGUUAAGCGGGACGCGGUACCGGAAGAGAAAGCCACGGCUAACUACGUGCCAGCAGCCGCGGUAAUUC
rnacentral:rRNA from 1 species